rnacentral:rRNA from 1 species
GCUCAGACGAACGCGGGCGGCGUGCCUAAUACAUGCAAGUCGAGCGGAUUUAUCUUUCGGGAUAAGUUAGCGGCGGACGGGUGAGUAACACGUAGGUAACCUGCCUAUAAGAUCGGGAUAACUAUCGGAAACGAUAGCUAAGACCGGAUAAUUGGUUUUCUCGCAUGAGAGAAUUAUGAAACACGGAGCAAUCUGUGGCUUAUAGAUGGGCCUGCGGCGCAUUAGCUAGUUGGUGAGGUAACGGCUCACCAAGGCGACGAUGCGUAGCCGACCUGAGAGGGUGAACGGCCACACUGGGACUGAGACACGGCCCAGACUCCUACGGGAGGCAGCAGUAGGGAAUCUUCCGCAAUGGACGCAAGUCUGACGGAGCAACGCCGCGUGAGUGAUGAAGGUUUUCGGAUCGUAAAGCUCUGUUGCCCUAGACGAACAGCAAGAGGAGUAACUGCCUCAUGUGUGACGGUAUAGGAGAAGAAAGCCCCG